GGUAGGGUGUUUUUUUUUUUGGGGGGGGGGCCAAUCGGGGGGGGGGGGUGACCCCUUGCUGAUGGUGUCCACCCCCCCUUGCCCCACCCCUCUCUGUCCCAUAUCCCCGUGUCCCUCCGUGUCCCCCCCCCCCACGACCCCCCCUCCCCCCCCCCCCAAAAUGUGUCCCCCCCCCAGCCUGCGCAGGCACAGCUCCUCCGGCAGCUCCAGCCCCCGGCGCCGCCUGAGUAGGAAAGCGGCCUCGUCCGCCAACCUCUUGCUGCCCGUGGGGAGCCCCGAGAGCCGCCCCAAGGAGCCCGUCAUGAGCCCAGGGUCACGCCGUGCCAACUACAACCUGGAGGGGGGUGUCGGUGAAGAUGUUCCUGCGGGGCGCCCCCAUCACCAUGUACGUGCCCCUCGGGGCUGGGCCCUACGGGGGGCUACGGGCCGAGCUGCCCCCCGAGCGCCUGCAGCUCGACUGGGUCUACGGGUACCGGGGCCGGGACAGCCGCUCCAACCUGCACGUGCUGGCGUCGGGCGAGCUGGUUUACUUCAUCGCCUGCGUCGUCGUCCUCCUCCACGUCCCCCUCCGCCGCCAGCGCCACUACCUGCGUCACAGCGACUGCGUGCGCUGGUGAAGCCCGGCCUGGGGGGGGUUCAUUUGGGGUGUGGGGGGCCCCCCCCAGCCCCGUUAUCCCCCCUCCUCACCGCCCCGUUUCCCCCCCCCACAGCUGGCCGUGCACCCCGACCGUCUACGCGUCGCCACGGG
rnacentral:lncRNA from 1 species